CUUCGUGUUUUCCCAAUAAACCUCAUAAUAUCUCCUCAUUCUCCUGCUAUGAAUCCUGAAGCAACAUUUAACCCACGUAAUAAGACUGUGGUGGCUUCUUUUCGGGUUUUAGCCCUAUAUUUUCUAGUUACAAUUUUUUAUUUUGAUUUUGAGUGUUUGGUUUGUUGCACUUUCCUUGUAACUUCGGGAACUGUGGAGUUUGGUUGGGUGGUGGUGGUGGUGGAUCGGUGGCUACCUUCCAAAGCUGAAGCAAGAUCUAUCUCUCUAUUCAACCAGCGAUUCAGGCUUUGCAAAAAAUAUACCAAGAUUGUAAAUCAAGAAUGAUAAAGGAUCAGUCAAUAAGGGCAGAAAGAGAACAAAUUUAUGUUCAACCAUUGUUUCAUAAAGAGAUACAAAGAUUGGAAAUCCAGAUGAGGAAGAUUGGAAAUCAAUAUGUUUCUUCUUUCUCACUGUCUAGAUUUUAAACCAUCACAAAACAACAAGAGGAAAAAAACACAAAACAAUAAGGGUUUUGGAAAUGAUUUUGUUUACCAGGUUAAGAAAUACAACAGUUACGACAAGAAAGUGCACAAAGAAAUUGAAAUCCAUAUCUUCCUACGAAUC
rnacentral:lncRNA from 1 species